rnacentral:rRNA from 1 species
GACGAACGCUGGCGGCGUGCCUAAUACAUGCAAGUAGAACGCUGAAGGAGGAGCUUGCUUCUCCGGAUGAGUUGCGAACGGGUGAGUAACGCGUAGGUAACCUGCCUGGUAGCGGGGGAUAACUAUUGGAAACGAUAGCUAAUACCGCAUAACAGUAGAUGUUGCAUGACAUUUGCUUAAAAGGUGCAAUUGCAUCACUACCAGAUGGACCUGCGUUGUAUUAGCUAGUUGGUGAGGUAACGGCUCACCAGGGCGACGAUACAUAGCCGACCUGAGAGGGGGAUCGGCCACACUGGGACUGGGACACGGCCCAGACUCCUACGGGAGGCAGCAGUAGGGAAUCUUCGGCCAUGGACGGAAGUCUGACCGAGCAACGCCGCGUGAGUGAAGAAGGUUUUCGGAUCGUAAAGCUCUGUUGUAAGAGAAGAACGAGUGUGAGAGUGGAAAGUUCACACUGUGACGGUAUCUUACCAGAAAGGGACGGCUAACUACGUG